CAGAAAUUAUCAUAAUUUUGCAGCAUAAGAAACCCAAAAACUUUCAAAACCAUAGGCCUUUGAAUGAAUAGAAACGCCGGAAUACGAUAUCCAUU